rfam:Aureobasidium namibiae CBS 147.97 unplaced genomic scaffold scaffold_9, whole genome shotgun sequence.
GGUUGUAUAGUGUAAUGGUUAGCACAUCGGAUUCUGAUUCCGGUAAUCCAAGUUCGAUCCCUGGUACGACCU